UUAAAGGAAUUGACGGGGCCCGCACAAGCGGUGGAGCAUGUGGUUAAUUCGAUGCAACGCGAAGAACUUACCUGGGCUUGACAUCCCGAGAAUCCCCUGGAAACAGGGAGUGCCCUUCGGGAGCUCGGAGACAGGUGGUGCAUGGUUGUCGUCAGCUCGUGUCGUGAGAUGUUGGGUUAAGUCCCGCAACGAGCGCAACCCUUACGGUUAGUUGCCAGCGGGUUAUGCCGGGCACUCUAGCUGAACUGUCGUUGACAAAACGGAGGAAGGUGGGAUGACGUCAAAUCAUCAUGCCCUUUAUGUCCUGGGCUACACACGUGCUACAAUGGCCUGUACAGAGGGAAGCGAAAGGGUGACCUGGAGCGAAUCCCAAAAAGCAGGUCUCAGUUCGGAUUGCAGGCUGCAACCCGCCUGCAUGAAGUCGGAAUCGCUAGUAAUCGCAGGUCAGCAUACUGUGGUGAAUACGUUCCCGGGCCUU
rnacentral:rRNA from 1 species